UCGGUGUACUUAUACAGGCUUAAUAUAUUCACCAGAAAAUAAUGUCUCAAGGAUGCUGCACACACAGAGGAGUUUUGUUUAGAUAACAUGUUUUCACGUGCAGAGAAAUUUCACUUAUGACCAGUGCAUGAUUGGAUUACAUCUUUCUUAUUGGUCACUGAUCUUUCGGGGUCAGCACGAGUUCACGUGUAAGUGCGUUUUGGUCACUUCCUUUUAUCAUCAGCAUUUGAUGUGUUAACUUGUGAUUCUUAUCAAACAAUUUUAUGGAUAAUUUUGGACUGGAGUGAUUUCCUUUUAGCAAUUUGAGGUAAAAUCGAACUUAACUUUUAUUUUUUAGCUAUUUUAUGCUUACAUUCUGAACAAACGUACAGUUAAUUUUUUUACCAUUCUUCCAUUCGGAUAGAUCUCACAAUUUUGAUUUAUUAAUUAAUUUGGGUGUUGGUGGCGACACUGUGCGUUUGCGAUCAAAAUGUAAUUAUUUACCAUACUUGUAAAAAAUGAUAGCUGAUGAUUAACCCAAUGUUGUAAUUUUACAAGUUACUGAAUCCUUGAUAGCAUCCUAAUGUUUGCAGAACGUAUAUCCGCCUUGUGUAUCUGUAGGAGACAUGGUUCAUUUAAAUUUAACUACAAAUACAAAAAUGUUUGCAUAACGAUAAUGAUACCAUACAUGAUAGAAUGCAAAGUUACACACUUAUAGACGAUGUUAUUCACGAUUCCAUACAUUUAAACACUCUCAUAUGAAAGAGCAAGACAGUUUAAUUUUAAGGCUAUGCUAAUAUUUAUUGUGCUACAAACCCAUUUGCCUUACUUGUUUGGGUAAGGUGGACGAUAUUUCAAAUUGUGCAGAGAGCUUGGAUGCUUGUACUUAUGACCUCUGUGUAUUUCCAUUUGCAAUUAUGUUUUAUUUAGUGUUCAUUGUUUUAUGCUAUGUCACGAAACUCAUGCUACUUUCGUAAAUCUCGUCACGGUGGUUUGUUUGGAGCUGAUAAUUUUGCAAGUCAGCCUAAUCGCUAUAAUUGUUAGUAUUUUAAUGUAUGCAGGUGUACCUUGUUUGCUUAAUGUUAACGGUAUAAAAAGGAUAUGUCUCUUACCUAUAUCGCAACCCAAUGCUUAUUUAUUACGAACCAAUUUACCUGUCUUUGCCUGUUUGGGUAAUGUGGACGAUAUUUUAAUUUUUGCAGAGGGCGAGGUUGCUUGUACUUAUGCCCUCUGUGUAUUGUUUUUGCAGAGGUCUAGUAGCUUGGUCUACGACCUCUGUGUAUUUACUUUUGCAAAUAUGUUAUUAUGUAGUAGGUAUUGUUUUAUGCUUCGUCAUGAAACUCAUGCUACUUUUGCAGAGGUCGUAGUAGCUUGGUCUAUGACCUCUGUGUAUUUGCUUUUGUAAAUAUGUUAGUAUGUAGUGGGUAUUGUUUUAUUCUUCGUCAUGAAACUUAUGCUACUUUUUUGCAGAUGUCGUAGUAGCUUGGUCUAUGAUCUCUGUAUUGUUUUAUGCUUCGUCAUGAAACUCAUGCUACUUUUAAUUAUUAUUUCGUCAUGAUGAUUGGUUUGGAAUAAAUUAUUUUUGUAAUCAAUCUUUUUGCUACUUACAAAAUUGCCAGUAUUUUGAGACAUGUAGCUAGAUUCACAUGUUUGUCAGUUUAUAAUACAUGUUUUUAAUGUAUUAUUUUAUUAUAAUUAUGUUUACUAGUAUAACUCAUGUACAUGAUAUAGUUUGGGUUGCGAUGAACGUAAUUGAUAAAUUUUAUGCCAAUACUGUAAGGUGGUUUGCUUUUACUUUAUACUAGAUUUAUUAUUAAAAAUAACAAUGGACAAGACAUACUUAUAAUAUUUCAAAGUUCAUACUCUUCAUUUAAUACAUAAUAUAUAAAAAUCAUGUCUGUUUAAUGGUUGAUUAUUGAAGAAGAAGAAACUAUGAUAAUUAAAUCAUCGCAUACUAUUCCUUAAUAUGCGUUAUGUUUGUGGUCCAAGAGUAAGAUCAAGUUUGUUUUUUAAUGAGAAUUUAAGUUUUUCCAUUCUUUUACAUUCUAAUUUUGUUUAUUUCAUGCUUUAACUAUGGACAAAGAGCACUGAGUCUGGCAUUGAUCUACGAAAGAACGUUUUCCCAUUGAAUGAAAUGUGCAAUAAAGCGUGAUAUCAACAACUUACAUAUACUUUCAUAUAUCAGCGGUAUGCCAUAGUUCCGAUAAUACAAACAUACGAAUUUUGAUGGGUUGCUGUUUCACUGACCUUACUUAAUGACACAUACCUAAUUUCGAGAUUAGAAUUUUGAUCCAGACGUGCGAGUCAUAUCAACAAGAAUCAUUGACUUACCAAAGCCUACUUUGACUGUUUUAUGAAUACAAAUUUACAAAAUUCGACUUCGAUCAGCAUUUGGAUACACAACUGGACCCUAGUUCCAAUGAAAGUCUAAAGCACCAAUUGCUAUUAUUCAACCAUCUCUGUAAAGUUUGCUAUGUCGUUAAUUGUCUUGGACUCUCAUAACUAUACAGCUCUUAGUUUUAGAAGAAGGAAAAAGCAAAGACUUCUGCUGCAGUUCAUGGAUGGAAUUUUCCUAUCCGUGAUUCAAGGAUUGAAGUCAAAUGCGUUUAUGGAAUUUUACAGCAUAAAAAGAAUUAAGUUAGUAACAGAACUUUAUGUUUCAGCUGUUUCGGGUCAGUAUUGCCUGAAAAAACGUUUAUGAUCUUUAUUUCAUACAUUUACAACUAUCUUGUUUUGGGUCAGCAUUGCCUGCCAAAACGGUUUAUAUGAUUUUUAGUAAUAAAAUGCUAUGCUUCUGUUCUGGGUCAGCAUUACCUGCCAAAACGUUUUAUGAUCUUUAUUUCAUAUAAUUGCAAAUGUCUUGUUUUGGUCAGCAUUGUCUGCCAACACGUUUACUAGUAUAUGAUCUUUAGUAAUAAAAUGCUAUGCUUGUUUUGCGUCAGUAUUGCCAGCAAAACGUUUAUGAUCUUUAUUUCAUACGAUUGGGGUCUAUAUUGCCUGCCCUCCUGACGAUGCUGUCUUUACACAUUAUUCAGACUGUCAAUGUGGACAUUUGAUAGGCUACCAUUAAAUCGUGUUUUUAAAUUUUAUGGCUCGGUUUAACCUCCUGUACGCAUACAUGGAUUGUUCGCAAAUCAUGUUAUGGUUUUCAAUAGAAAAAUCAAAUUCCCGAUUUAUAUUAAGUAUAUUUGAAGUGUACAUUAAAAGUCCCCAAGCUUAUCAGUGUUGGAUAAGUAAGUUUGGUGGAUUCCCGUUAUUUUUAUAGUGGUAUUAUCGAUAUAAAUUAUUACUAUUAAUAUUGAAUGGUGGUAUUCACUAGUCAUUAAAUUUCUAAAAAGCUUAACUUUUUACCGACUCAUGAGUUACGCAAAAUAUUUCUAAAAUCUCAUAUCAAUAAUAACAAAAAUAACUGUGAGUUAAAAAAGUCUACAUUAGAUAUUUAUUUACUAAUUUCAAUUUAAAAACUCUUUCCUUAAGAAAUUUAAUAAAUCUAUGAUCUUUAUACAAUUUUGAUUGAAAAAUGUCAAAUGUAGUAUGAGAAUCAGUUGAUCAUGAUCCCAUAUAGAAAUAGUCAGAUAUAAAACUUCGUAUUUAGAAAGGAUCCAGGGCUUCGUAAAAAUGUACUUCUAUUUUGUUUGAAGAUUUAAGAUUAAAGAUAAAGUUUCGGUUAAUUAAUGUACUAAUUCUCCGUACUAAAAUAUUUAAGGGAUACUAUUCUUAAAUGUCUAGAUGUAAGACGAUUUAGGAAUUCUGAAACAUAUACUUAACGCCGAUUAUAUUGUAAUUUUAUUGCUGUGGUCCUGACCGGAAUAAGUUUUACACCUUUAAUCAUUUAUAUCAGUAAGUGAUAAUUUAAAAGUAAUAUCUUGGUAUAUGAUCAUAUGAACUUUUAAUAAUUCUGCUCAAUAUGGAAACGUUUUACAAAAAUAAAGUGUUAUUUUUGGUGUACAUGUAUGUGAAUGUCAUGCUCGUAAAUUUUUCAAGUUAUAUAUAAACUGUAUUCACGUCGCCAGAGUCCUCGGGUGGGGAAUCCUCUCUUUUAGCCUUAGAGUGGCUUUGGGGUCCACUCUUUCAGCUUAAGAUCGGAUUUGUGGCAGAUUUUUCUCCCCACCUUUGCUAUUCUUUGUCAUUUAUUCAAUUGAUAUGAUAUUAGUUGAUGUAAUUUCGUAUUAAUUAUGUUUUAUUAUUUCAUAUUAAAUAUAAACUUUUAUGUCAAAUGUUUUAUUUGCAAAAUGUAUUAUUUGCAUUUUAUGAUUUUGAAUAAAUGACCUUUUUUCGUCAGUUUAGUUUUUUUAUCAUAUAGCAAAUCAAGCUCAGACUCUGGCAUGUGUAUAUAGAGUAUGUUUAUGGUAUCUAGCUGUCUGUCUUCAAACCAAUUUUAUUUGCUAAUUGAAAAUUAAGCUGAAUAAAAUAAUUUAAGACAGCAGAGAAAAUAAUUCUGUUUUAAUUGUUUAUUACUAAGACUUAAAUAAAGAGUGAACUAUUUAUACUGUAAAUUUAUGAUGUCUCUAGUCUGGUCAAAGGGUCAGAGUGUCCUACUUAAUCAAAAGAUAAAUUGUUGAAAUUAGAUAACAUGUUUUCACGUUCAGAGAAAUUUCACUUAUGACCAGUGCAUGAUUGGAUUACAUCUUUCUUAUUGGUCACUGAUCUUUCGUGGUCAGCACGAGUUCACGUGUAAGUGCGUUGUGGUCACUUCCUUUUAUCAUCAGCAUUUGAUGUGUUAACUUGUGAUUCUUAUCAAACAAUUUGUUAAAAAUUCCCACCCACAUAAAUCCCUUAAUUUUAUCUUUUGAAGUAGAUAUGUAUAUAUGUUUAUUUGUGGGGCAGAUUUUUCUCCCCACCUUUGCUAUUCUUUGUCAUUUAUUCAAUUGAUAUGAUAUUAGUUGAUGUAAUUUCGUAAUAAUUAUGUUUUAUUAUUUCAUAUUAGAUAUGAACUUUUAUGUCAAAUGUUUUAUUUGCAAAAUGUAUUUUUUACAUUUUAUGAUUUUGAAUAAAUGACCUUUUUUCGUCA